GCGAAUGUUAUCCCGAAACUGGACCUCAUACAUGAAUUUCAGUAAAAUCAGACUUCGCACAAAUAAUGAACACCUAAUAGGAAACACAACAACCGUAUGUGAGCUUGGAUAUCCACGUCAUAACCGAUAAACGUUUAUUUGAUCAAUUGAUCCUACCGUAUGUUGCUAUUUGAUAUGCACCUUCUGCUUCCGUAAUGAAACAGCGGUCGCCAUCAUGGAUUAGAGACUUUUUUGGACGCCAUUACAAAACAAACUGCAAACUGGACCUGUAAAGUUCAGGUAGUUGACAAGUUCGGUCCCCGCCAGAGCAAAGACUCAUCUGUCCAUUUUUCAGACAAUACUUGUGCAGGAUGAAAGCGAACAACAGGUUUCCAUAGUACUAUACGGUGAUGACAUUCUCAGAUACGAGAAGUUGUUUGUCCUUUUUCAGACAUACCUGAUUUCUUGUGCAAAAGUUAGAGAUCCCCGUGGUUACUCGAUACAAGCCAGUACGUACGAAUGGAUAGUUGACAGAUACACAAUUUUUGAGCUCGUUACCAACAAUGACAGACUGGAAACACCCCUGCCUUCUUUGAGAAAAUUGAAUGUGCUUUCUUUCUCAGCUAUUGAACAUCAACAUCCAGGUGUAGAAUUUGACUUACUGGCGUAGUAGCCAAGCCAAUUGCAGUGCCAUACAAUAUACAACUAACCAAAGUAAACACUUUCGGGAAGCGAUUAUGAUGGUCCAGAGGUCCACUUUACCAACCAGCAAGAAACCUUUCUUAUUUACUAUAUGGGACGACCUAGCUGACAAUGAACGAGCUACAUUAUUACAUCACUUGCAUGAGUAUGCCGUCAUUCUUGCCAAGCGUAUAGGCAUCACUGAAUUUCGCGGUGAUCUAAGAUUGGCAACAAGAUAUCAAACAACGAUCUUAAUAAAUCCUCAAUACGUGCAGGCUAUUACACCGAUGAACUGGGUGAAGCACAACAAACAAAUGUUGUUGUCUUAUACUUUGAGAAGCUUAUCGUCAUCAACCUCCUCACUGAAUCUUGCACCUAUUGAAGAUCAAGUACUAUCUAUAUCCACCAUUCCAGAGUCAUUAUCUAAGCACAAGUAGAAGUCUAUCUCCAUGCCAAUGUGCAUGUACUUGCUCAAGAGUGGAACCUAGGAAGGUUUAUUCAAGUGAGAUUUCAGCAUGGUAGAUUUGGAUGAUCAAUUUCGCUGGAUGGAAAAAGAAUCCAUCUCUGUUGUGAGAGCUGAGAAAUGUGUAUUUUUCGGCAUAUUCUGAUUUUGUGCUUUACAUUAAUUAGCUUUGUACAAAAAGGUGAUUUUUUAUUUUUUAUUUUUCUCCACCUUAAAAAAUUAUAUAUCUUAACACGCAGACACUUCAAAAUUUUAAUCCAACGUUUUAUCACAAAUACCUUCGCCAAGUUUUUAAUGUUACUGCACACUUAUGUUGCAGGUACAAAGUUUCCCGGUGGAGGGCAGAAUAUUGCUUCCCGACCAUCCUCAGUCAUUUUAUUUGCUCGCUUUCUCAAACUGCAACCACUAUGAGCUCCCCAAAACAAAAAAAUUGGUGCAAUGCUUCAGCUCUAAGCUACACCGACCAUUAGUUCCAAUGUAACUACUACUUUUACCGCAUCAUACAGAGUCUCCACUGUGCCUUUUGUUGCUUCUACCUUCUCUAUAAAAAAAUCAGAAAUGGUUACUUUCAUUACAGGUGACAUGUUCCUUUCACUAGGAUUCCUUCAACAUAUUUUACAUGAGGAUGAAAAAGAAGCCAACUUUACGUAUCUUUGUCUCUACUUUCUUUGUGUUGUGUGUAUGUGUCUGUUUGGCUCUUCUUUUUUUUUUGUAUGAUAUGGUGGAUAUAUUUGUAUAAUGUGGAUAGCAGUGUUAUAUGCUAUGAUUUCUUUGUUGUUUAGCUUAAGAAAAUCCAGCCAUCCCUUUUCCACUGUAGUCAGAACUUGAUGUGCAACAUACAGAUUUCCUAAAAAACAGGGUGACUUUAACUUGACUAAUCAAGUUGAUUAAAGUUGAACCUGUAUCCAAAACAACAUACCCAGUGUAACAACACAAAGUAGACUUUUGGGAGGGUAGAUCUAUGCAGACCAUAUGCCUUGCCUAGAGAUACAGAAGUUGUUUCCACCAACGUUCACUGAAUAGUUGAACUUAUAUCUACGUGAACAAAAACUAGUUUUUCCCUACGUAGACUAAAGUGAACUUAAAAUUGGUCUUACAGUACAUAUGUCUUGCACUAAAAUGGUGUCCUCUCACAGCUGAUCUUUUCUAAUUUCCAACGGAUAUUCUACGAGCCUAAUUUUGCUGCAAACUACCGAUCUUUUACUACUAAUGUCAAGGAUGAGAAGAAUACAAAAGCAAAUAGUAAUUGCUCUAAUGCUUUGAUGCUCCCUCCGUUCACUUUUACUUGUCAAAAAUUUCUUAAUUGUAUUUUUGUUUUUUAUUUCUCCUUUUCUCCUUUUCUCUUUUACCCUUAGUAUUAAUUAUUUUUUCUCUAAAUUAAUUUUAAGGUUUAUAGGCACAGUGUGAUGAUGGGUACAUAUAGAUGAAGCGCAAAGUAGUUUGGGGUUAGUAGAAGCUCUCUUAUGUAAUCUAAAACUUAGAUGAGGAUUGUGACAUGAAAUGUUAGGGGUCUCAAUGAGAUGUACAAACACAGGGAACUCAGAGGAUUUGUUUCCAAUAAUAAGGUAGGACUGAUGACUAUACUAGAACAUAAAGUUUUAAGACUUGGAAUGAAGCUUUAAAAAAGUAAAAAACUUUUGAAUGUUAUAGUUUUAAAUUACAGAUGAAUGUUAAUGGAUAGUGAGGAUUCAUACAGUCUAACUUCAGUUAACUUGAGAUUGCGACAUGGUAGCUGUUAUUCUUGUAGUAUGUUCUUAUAAUUGAAAGGAAAAACAUUGAGUGUCUGAUUAAAAUACUGAACAUUUAAUUUGACUGUUGUAUGUGUUAUUUUUACUUAGCUGAUUUAGUUAUUUUAAAAUUUUAAGUCGGCGAAUACAAAGUAGUACUGAAUGGGUAGUACUAAUGUUUAUAUAUUUUAAAAUGUUGUCUUUAUGACUUCAAAUGGAGCAAAGUAAAUAGUGAUAAACUAACUUGAGAUUGAAGACCAGUAGCUUAAUGGUUUGCAAUAAUGUUAAUAAAUUUAAAAAUGUUGUCUUUAUGAUUUCAACGGGAGAAAAUGGAUUGUUAUGAAUUAACUUGACAUUGAAGGCUAGCAGCUUUUGUUCAUACACAAUCAAUUCCUACAUGACACUGUUGAAAUAUCGCUCAUAGAUAUACAUUCUACGUUACUGCUAUAUAUGGGAUGCAGACUGUACAGAAUAAAACAUGCUUACAGCUUGAAUUGCAGAAUCUUGCAAACAACAUAAUAGUAGAAAAUUAAAAGUUGAGGUUUUUGGUGAAUGGAAAUGAUGUGUAGUUUAUAGCUUCACCGUCUUUACAUUUUGUUCCAUUCUGUAGAGGUUGACAUGCUAUUGCUGCACAGUAGAAUAACUUCACUUUGUAUUUGUGCCUCCACACCCGAAAGUUUGAUACUGCUACUUUUAUCCUUUUUGGCUUAAAAGUCUGCUAUGCAUUUUACUGCCCUUUUAUCUUAAUCACGGAUGCCACUUCAACAUUGACAUCAUGGAUGCCAGCAGUACAAUUGCAGCAAUAGUCUCAGAAAUGUUGGGAGAAAGCAUAUUGGCCCUAACUGUGGAGCAAAUAUAUAAGAGGGUUGUUGUCCAGCUACAGAAAUACAUACUACUACCAAUGACGAAACUCUUUUUCUUAAAAUUUUGUUCUAUCGAUAAAUAAAAAUACCACAUUACAUAAACUCCUAUUUAAUGUGCUAUCUUUUACCCUUUUUACCUAGCAACGACCGUUAUCUAUUGCCGCUGUAAAUCGCCAGCUUGCUCAUAAACUAUUUAAGCUCCAGUUACAAAAGUCGGUCUUCAAUUUUUUCGACCAAAAACCUGGUAUGCUGGCUGUUGCAUCAUUCACUGAAGCAGAAACGCUAAUUCUGGCACCAUCACCAUUACCACCGCGUCCAAAAGAGACAGGUAAGAAGCAGAAAAUUGAACCAUCCACACCAGGAAAAAAAGAAUUGAAGGGAAAUGACAAAUCUUGUGAAUUGAUUGUCGUAUUACUGCUAAUAAAUAGCCAGAUGGCCGCUACGCAACUUCUAGAUUUUGAUUCGCUCUAUCAACUUCAUCACGUGGUAUAACGUGUAGAGGUGGAUUUUGCUUGCCUAUACUAACAUCAUAUAGGUGGGUGCAUAAACAAACUUUUUGUCUUUUCAUGUAAAUGACAAUUACUGUGGCAGACCCACAUGUUGAUAGUUUUUGUAUGACAUGUCAAUGUACAGCCACAGCUUACCGUAGCAGACGUGCAUGCUAAAUAGUUUUUGUACGUAAGUACCUCCUAAGAAUCAGGGAAGCUUAUGUAAAUAGUUCGCGCUUAUAUUAUCGUUCAGCUUAUCA